rnacentral:rRNA from 1 species
UGAGGAAUUUUGCGCAAUGGGGGAAACCCUGACGCAGCAACGCCGCGUGAGUGAAGAAGGCUUUCGAGUCGUAAAGCUCUGUCAAGUGGGAAAAACACCUCUCGAUUAAUAGUCGGAAGGUCUGAUGGUACCGCUGGAGGAAGCACCGGCUAACUCCGUGCCAGCAGCCGCGGUAAUACGGAGGGUGCAAGCGUUGUUCGGAAUUACUGGGCGUAAAGAGCGUGUAGGCGGUUUGGUAAGUCAGAUGUGAAAGCCCUGGGCUCAACCCAGGAAGUGCAUUUGAUACUGCCAUUCUUGAGUAUGGGAGAGGAGAGUGGAAUUCCCAGUGUAGAGGUGAAAUUCGUAGAUAUUGGGAGGAACACCCGUGGCGAAGGCGACUCUCUGGACCAAUACUGACGCUGAGACGCGAAAGCGUGGGGAGCAAACA